UUGGAGGGCAAGUCUGGUGCCAGCAGCCGCGGUAAUUCCAGCUCCAAUAGCGUAUAUUAAAGUUGUUGCAGUUAAAAGGCUCGUAGUUGAAUUUCGGGGUCAGUAGGCUGGUCGUGCCACAGGUAUGUACUGGUCUCACUGAUUCCUCCUUCCUGAUGAACCGUAAUGCCAUUAAUUUGGUGUUGCGGGGAAUCUGGACUGUUACUUUGAAAAAAUUAGAGUGUUUAAAGCAGGCUAACGCUUGAAUACAUUAGCAUGGAAUAAUGAAAUAGGACGAUCGAUCCUAUUUUGUUGGUUUCUAGGGUUGACGUAAUGAUUAAUAGGGAUAGUUGGGGGCAUUAGUAUUCAAUUGUCAGAGGUGAAAUUCUUGGAUUUAUUGAAGACUAACUACUGCGAAAGCAUUUGCCAAGGAUGUUUUCAUUAAUCAAGAACGAAAGUUAGGGGAUCGAAGACGAUCAGAUACCGUCGUAGUCUUAACCAUAAACUAUGCCGACUAGGGAUCGGAUGAUGUUAAUUUUUUAAUGACUCAUUCGGCGCCUUACGGGAAA
rnacentral:rRNA from 1 species